GAAAUCCUGCUUGGAAAGGCUAAAGCCAAGCCACCAAUAGCGAGUCUUGAGCGACUGGAAGUAAUUUCAGGCGCUAAGCGUAGACAGUCAGGUAGUAGGCCUGAAAGUGAUGGAGCCUCGAAAAGAGUAAACCGGAGAGGUCGACGUUUUCGAAAGUACGGAAGACAACACUCAUUUCUGCGUCAAUGGCAAGGAGGAAUGAGCUCUCCCGGGGUCGAAGAGCC
rfam:Thermobacillus composti KWC4, complete genome.